UAAUUAUUAAUUAAUUUUGUUGUGAAUGCCUACAACCUUUUUUUUUCUUUGGCAACAAAGGAGCAUGGGUUAAUAAAAUACGAAGACCAUGUCUAAAAACUUUUUUCUCUCUACCUUAACAACCUCAUUAUCUCUCAAUCUCCAUCUCUAACUCAAUCCUCAUCUUCUUCAAAGCAUAACAAAUAGAAAAAAAUCAUUCCCAUUCUCAACAAAAACACAUAUCAUCAUUCACCUCAUUCACAAAUGAUCCAUAUAUACUUAUCUAUCAACCAACCAAAAGAUAGUGAGAAAGCAUAUCCCCAAACAUCCAAAAAUACACAAUAAAAAGCAUUACACUAAGUUCAUCCCAGAAAAGGGGAACAAUUCAUACUCUGUAACAUCAUUCAGAUUCAUAUCCUUAAAUUAUAAAUCAAGGCCGCGAAGAUCGAUGUGCUCCUCAUCGGUGCCUCGCCAUCUGCCACGACAAGGAUCCCCGCCUGGACUGACUUACAGAGAACGGAAGAAGGAAGAGAGGAAGAUCAUUUACCGUUUGCGGAUGGAGGUCAAGCGGUUUCCACCGUUUCCUUCGGGUUGUCGCCGCAUAAAAUUGGUAGUCUAGGGAUUUCUAUCCCUUUGGCUCUUUCUUUUGUUGCUGGAGAAAGGUAACAGGAUGUUACCCAUUUACUCAUUCCUUUGUUUAUUCAUUCAUUAUUUUAAUUAUUUUCAUUUAUUUUUCUUAUGUCACUUUAUUAUUAUAACCCUUUUAAUAGAUUGAUAUACUUGUUUUGCCAUAUUAUUGUACCUAAUAUUUGAAAUCAUCUACUCAGGUAACUCACAUUUUUUAUGUUAAGCAAUUGAAAUAAAUUUUAUUAUAAAAUUAAACAUUUUGUCUCAGACAAAUAAAACAUUUUAAUAGGAAUUCAAUAGUGAGAUUACAACUCGUAUUUUAUAUUUCUUCUCAUUUCGAGCUGAGAAUUGGUUGCGUCACUUAUACUAUUUCUGCUAUCUAUUGAAGUGAGAAGGGGUAAGUAAUCAAUGUUGACUGUUCGUCUAUUAAUUUCACUUUGAUUAAACUCAAACAAAUUUCUAAGCUUUACGUUAAAAAUUAGUAAUAAUAGACAUUUUAAUUAUUUUGGGAUUCAAUAGCAAAGUUACAACUCGUAUUGCAUCUUUCUCAUCCCUCCAAGCCUAGAAUCGGUCGCGGUCAUUUGUACUGUUUCUGCUAUCUAUCGAAGUGGGAAGAGUGUAAGCAAUCAAUGUUGAUUCUUUGUCUAUUAAUUUCACUUCGAUUAAAUUCAAACAAUUUUUAAUUUUAAAUUAAUCCAAGUUACCAUUUUUAAAACCAGAACUACGUAAUCUUGAUAUCCCUAUUGCACCUAGGGAUAUGUAGAAGGUAAACUCUUGUCCACACAAAACUUAAAAACUAAAAAUUUGGUUUAAACAAUUUAAUUGAAAUAAAUCAAGGGUAUUUAGUUCAUGCAAUUAGUUAGGGUACCGUUUAAUUACGGUCAGACGAGGUGCUAAUACUUUCAUCGAUCCGUAAUUGACUCUCGAACUCAAACUCUGAUAUAAAAGAUCAUUUUAUCCUAAUUUGGGCUUAAAUUGAGUUUUUCACGUUUUAAUCGCAAAAGACGUGGUGGCGUCUCCUAAAGAGGUCAUGUAGCCAAAAAUCGGGGCGCAACACUCAUAUAUUACUUAUAUAACAAAAAAAGUCUCUCAUGAUAUGUGACAAUCUCUCAAGCCCCUCAUGACACAUGUUAGUCUCUCAAUCAAAACUUUCCCUCCAAAACAUGUCUAUGUUAAUCAUUAUGUACCUUUCAACAUUGUAUCUUCCCUUUUUGUAUACUGUACAUUUUAAUUCUAAUGAUUAAUAGACACAUUCGUUUUUUAUCUAUCUAUUAUCUAUAUAACAAAAAAAGGUCUCUCAUGAUAUGUGUCAAUCUUUCAAUCAAAAAAGGUCUCUUAUGACAUGUUUCAAUCUCUUAAUCAAAACUUUCCCUCCAAAAUAUGUCUAUGUUAAUCAUAUGUACCUUUUAACAUUGUAUAUUCCCUUUCUGUACAUUGUACAUUUUAAUACUAAUGAUUAAUGGAUGCAUUUGUUUUUUAUUAUAUGAAGAAAUUAAAUAUCACAAUAAAGGCGAUCGAAUCUCUUUUCACAUGUGAAUUACUUCUAUCUCCAUUAUCAUUUCAUAUAUUCAUCUUCUUCUCUCCCCUUUCGUUUCAUAUUUAUCUCUUCUUCUCUCUCAUGUCUACAAUCGAAUGUUUCAUUCGUCAAUUUUCAUUUCGUUUAAACCUAAUAUGACGGCUUUUGUAUAUUGUUACUUAUUCAUAUUUCUCUAUUCUUCUCUCACAUGUCUACAACCCAAUGUUUCAUUCGUCAAUCUUCAUUUCGUUUAAACCUAAUAUGACGACUUCUGUAUACUGCUACUUAAUCUUCAUCAUUGUAGAUUUGUACUUAUUUUGUGAAUAUGUUAUUUAUGUAUAUAUAUUCUUAUUUUUUUCUUUGAUUUUGUUGUUUAGUAUUUCAUUGAUUUGUUUAUUUUGUAUAUGUAGAAUGAUUGAUUUCAUUAUUUUGUAGAUUUCUUCUUCCAAUAAUCAUCUUCUUUAGUGUCUGAUUUACAAGAAUUUCAUCCUUAGCAACGACCAAAUCCUCAAAAACUAUGUUAUGUACUUCAUCUCCAUUUAUGUAUAUACACACAAUUAGUUACAAG
rnacentral:lncRNA from 1 species